rnacentral:rRNA from 1 species
UUAAGCGACUAAGCGUACACGGUGGAUGCCCUGGCAGUCAGAGGCGAUGAAGGACGUGCUAAUCUGCGAUAAGCGUCGGUAAGGUGAUAUGAACCGUUAUAACCGGCGAUUUCCGAAUGGGGAAACCCAGUGUGUUUCGACACACUAUCAUUAACUGAAUCCAUAGGUUAAUGAGGCGAACCGGGGGAACUGAAACAUCUAAGUACCCCGAGGAAAAGAAAUCAACCGAGAUUCCCCCAGUAGCGGCGAGCGAACGGGGAGCAGCCCAGAGCCUGAAUCAGUGUGUGUGUUAGUGGAAGCGUCUGGAAAGGCGCGCGAUACAGGGUGACAGCCCCGUACACAAAAAUGCACAUAUUGUGAGCUCGAUGAGUAGGGCGGGACACGUGGUAUCCUGUCUGAAUAUGGGGGGACCAUCCUCCAAGGCUAAAUACUCCUGACUGACCGAUAGUGAACCAGUACCGUGAGGGAAAGGCGAAAAGAACCCCGGCGAGGGGAGUGAAAAAGAACCUGAAACCGUGUACGUACAAGCAGUGGGAGCACGCUUAGGCGUGUGACUGCGUACCUUUUGUAUAAUGGGUCAGCGACUUAUAUUCUGUAGCAAGGUUAACCGAAUAGGGGAGCCGAAGGGAAACCGAGUCUUAACUGGGCGUUAAGUUGCAGGGUAUAGACCCGAAACCCGGUGAUCUAGCCAUGGGCAGGUUGAAGGUUGGGUAACACUAACUGGAGGACCGAACCGACUAAUGUUGAAAAAUUAGCGGAUGACUUGUGGCUGGGGGUGAAAGGCCAAUCAAACCGGGAGAUAGCUGGUUCUCCCCGAAAGCUAUUUAGGUAGCGCCUCGUGAAUUCAUCUCCGGGGGUAGAGCACUGUUUCGGCAAGGGGGUCAUCCCGACUUACCAACCCGAUGCAAACUGCGAAUACCGGAGAAUGUUAUCACGGGAGACACACGGCGGGUGCUAACGUCCGUCGUGAAGAGGGAAACAACCCAGACCGCCAGCUAAGGUCCCAAAGUCAUGGUUAAGUGGGAAACGAUGUGGGAAGGCCCAGACAGCCAGGAUGUUGGCUUAGAAGCAGCCAUCAUUUAAAGAAAGCGUAAUAGCUCACUGGUCGAGUCGGCCUGCGCGGAAGAUGUAACGGGGCUAAACCAUGCACCGAAGCUGCGGCAGCGACACUAUGUGUUGUUGGGUAGGGGAGCGUUCUGUAAGCCUGCGAAGGUGUGCUGUGAGGCAUGCUGGAGGUAUCAGAAGUGCGAAUGCUGACAUAAGUAACGAUAAAGCGGGUGAAAAGCCCGCUCGCCGGAAGACCAAGGGUUCCUGUCCAACGUUAAUCGGGGCAGGGUGAGUCGACCCCUAAGGCGAGGCCGAAAGGCGUAGUCGAUGGGAAACAGGUUAAUAUUCCUGUACUUGGUGUUACUGCGAAGGGGGGACGGAGAAGGCUAUGUUGGCCGGGCGACGGUUGUCCCGGUUUAAGCGUGUAGGCUGGUUUUCCAGGCAAAUCCGGAAAAUCAAGGCUGAGGCGUGAUGACGAGGCACUACGGUGCUGAAGCAACAAAUGCCCUGCUUCCAGGAAAAGCCUCUAAGCAUCAGGUAACAUCAAAUCGUACCCCAAACCGACACAGGUGGUCAGGUAGAGAAUACCAAGGCGCUUGAGAGAACUCGGGUGAAGGAACUAGGCAAAAUGGUGCCGUAACUUCGGGAGAAGGCACGCUGAUAUGUAGGUGAAGUCCCUCGCGGAUGGAGCUGAAAUCAGUCGAAGAUACCAGCUGGCUGCAACUGUUUAUUAAAAACACAGCACUGUGCAAACACGAAAGUGGACGUAUACGGUGUGACGCCUGCCCGGUGCCGGAAGGUUAAUUGAUGGGGUUAGCCGCAAGGCGAAGCUCUUGAUCGAAGCCCCGGUAAACGGCGGCCGUAACUAUAACGGUCCUAAGGUAGCGAAAUUCCUUGUCGGGUAAGUUCCGACCUGCACGAAUGGCGUAAUGAUGGCCAGGCUGUCUCCACCCGAGACUCAGUGAAAUUGAACUCGCUGUGAAGAUGCAGUGUACCCGCGGCAAGACGGAAAGACCCCGUGAACCUUUACUAUAGCUUGACACUGAACAUUGAGCCUUGAUGUGUAGGAUAGGUGGGAGGCUUAGAAGUGUGGACGCCAGUCUGCAUGGAGCCGACCUUGAAAUACCACCCUUUAAUGUUUGAUGUUCUAACGUUGACCCGUAAUCCGGGUUGCGGACAGUGUCUGGUGGGUAGUUUGACUGGGGCGGUCUCCUCCUAAAGAGUAACGGAGGAGCACGAAGGUUGGCUAAUCCUGGUCGGACAUCAGGAGGUUAGUGCAAUGGCAUAAGCCAGCUUGACUGCGAGCGUGACGGCGCGAGCAGGUGCGAAAGCAGGUCAUAGUGAUCCGGUGGUUCUGAAUGGAAGGGCCAUCGCUCAACGGAUAAAAGGUACUCCGGGGAUAACAGGCUGAUACCGCCCAAGAGUUCAUAUCGACGGCGGUGUUUGGCACCUCGAUGUCGGCUCAUCACAUCCUGGGGCUGAAGUAGGUCCCAAGGGUAUGGCUGUUCGCCAUUUAAAGUGGUACGCGAGCUGGGUUUAGAACGUCGUGAGACAGUUCGGUCCCUAUCUGCCGUGGGCGCUGGAGAACUGAGGGGGGCUGCUCCUAGUACGAGAGGACCGGAGUGGACGCAUCACUGGUGUUCGGGUUGUCAUGCCAAUGGCACUGCCCGGUAGCUAAAUGCGGAAGAGAUAAGUGCUGAAAGCAUCUAAGCACGAAACUUGCCCCGAGAUGAGUUCUCCCUGACUCCUUGAGAGUCCUGAAGGAACGUUGAAGACGACGACGUUGAUAGGCCGGGUGUGUAAGCGCAGCGAUGCGUUGAGCUAACCGGUACUAAUGAACCGUGAGGCUUAACCU